rnacentral:rRNA from 1 species
UGCGAGCGUUGUCCGGCAUUAUUGGGCGUAACGGGCUCGUAGGCGGUUUGUCGCGUCGGGAGUGAAAUCCACUGGCUUAACUGGUGGCUUGCUUUCGAUACGGGCAGACUGGAGGUAUGCAGGGGAGAACGGAAUUCCUGGUGUAGCGGUGAAAUGCGCAGAUAUCAGGAGGAACACCGGUGGCGAAGGCGGGUCUCUGGGCCGAUAUUGACGCUGAGGAGCGAAAGCGUGGGGAGCGAACAGG